GGGCAUAUGGUGUAGGGGUUAUCACGUUCGCUUUGCAUGACGUCAUCAUGAGACUCUAUGCCCUUGCGAAAGGUCUCCGGUUCAAAUCCGGAUUUGUCCA